rnacentral:rRNA from 1 species
GACGAACGCCUUUGGCGUGCUUAACACAUGCAAGUCGAACGGAAAGGCCCUGCUUUUGUGGGGUGCUCGAGUGGCGAACGGGUGAGUAACACGUGAGUAACCUGCCCUUGACUUUGGGAUAACUUCAGGAAACUGGGGCUAAUACCGGAUAGGAGCUCCUGCUGCAUGGUGGGGGUUGGAAAGUUUCGGCGGUUGGGGAUGGACUCGCGGCUUAUCAGCUUGUUGGUGGGGUAGUGGCUUACCAAGGCUUUGACGGGUAGCCGGCCUGAGAGGGUGACCGGCCACAUUGGGACUGAGAUACGGCCCAGACUCCUACGGGAGGCAGCAGUGGGGAAUAUUGCACAAUGGGCGGAAGCCUGAUGCAGCAACGCCGCGUGCGGGAUGACGGCCUUCGGGUUGUAAACCGCUUUCGCCUGUGACGAAGCGUGAGUGACGGUAAUGGGUAAAGAAGCACCGGCUAACUACGUGCCAGCAGCCGCGGUGAUACGUAGGGUGCGAGCGUUGUCCGGAUUUAUUGGGCGUAAAGGGCUCGUAGGUGGUUGAUCGCGUCGGAAGUGUAAUCUUGGGGCUUAACCCUGAGCGUGCUUUCGAUACGGGUUGACUUGAGGAAGGUAGGGGAGAAUGGAAUUCCUGGUGGAGCGGUGGAAUGCGCAGAUAUCAGGAGGAACACCAGUGGCGAAGGCGGUUCUCUGGGCCUUUCCUGACGCUGAGGAGCGAAAGCGUGGGGAGCGAACAGGCUUAGAUACCCUGGUAGUCCACGCUGUAAACGGUGGGUACUAGGUGUGGGGUCCAUUCCACGGGUUCCGUGCCGUAGCUAACGCUUUAAGUACCCCGCCUGGGGAGUACGGCCGCAAGGCUAAAACUCAAAGGAAUUGACGGGGCCCCGCACAAGCGGCGGAGCAUGCGGAUUAAUUCGAUGCAACGCGUAGAACCUUACCUGGGUUUGACAUGGAUCGGGAGUGCUCAGAGAUGGGUGUGCCUCUUUUGGGGUCGGUUCACAGGUGGUGCAUGCCUGUCGUCAGCUCGUGUCGUGAGAUGUUGGGUUAAGUCCCGCAACGAGCGCAACCCUUGUUCACUGUUGCCAGCACGUUAUGGUGGGGACUCAGUGGAGACCGCCGGGGUCAACUCGGAGGAAGGUGGGGAUGGCGUCAAGUCAUCAUGCCCCUUAUGUCCAGGGCUUCACGCAUGCUACAAUGGCUGGUACAGAGAGUGGCGAGCCUGUGAGGGUGAGCGAAUCUCGGAAAGCCGGUCUCAGUUCGGAUUGGGGUCUGCAACUCGACCUCAUGAAGUCGGAGUCGCUAGUAAUCGCAGAUCAGCAACGCUGCGGUGAAUACGUUCCCGGGGCU